rnacentral:rRNA from 1 species
GUCCACGCUGUAAACGAUGAGUGCUAGAUGUCGCGGGUAUUGACCCCUGCGGUGUCGUAAGCUAACGCAUUAAGCACUCCGCCUGGGGAGUACGGCCGCAAGGCUAAACUCAAAGGAAUUGACGGGGGCCCGGCACAAGCGGUGGAGCAUGUGGUUCAAUUCGACGCAACGCGAAGAACCUUACCUGGGUUAAAUCCACUCGAAUCCUGCAGAGAUGUGGGAGUGCCCUUCGGGAAGUGAGUGAGACGGUGCUGCAUGGCUGUCGU